rnacentral:rRNA from 1 species
GACGAACGCUGGCGGCGUGCCUAAUACAUGCAAGUCGAGCGAAGUUUUUCUGGUGCUUGCACUAGAAAAACUUAGCGGCGAACGGGUGAGUAACACGUAAAGAACCUGCCUCAUAGACUGGGACAACUAUUGGAAACGAUAGCUAAUACCGGAUAACAGUAUUUCUCGCAUGAGAGAUAUUUAAAAGUUGGUUAUGCUAACACUAUGAGAUGGCUUUGCGGUGCAUUAGCUAGUUGGUGGGGUAAAGGCCCACCAAGGCGACGAUGCAUAGCCGACCUGAGAGGGUGAUCGGCCACACUGGGACUGAGACACGGCCCAGACUCCUACGGGAGGCAGCAGUAGGGAAUCUUCCGCAAUGGGCGAAAGCCUGACGGAGCAACGCCGCGUGAGUGAAGUAGGAUUUCGGUUCGUAAAGCUCUGUUGUUAGGGAAGAAUGGAUAUGUAGUAACUAUACAUGUAAGAGACGGUACCUAACCAGAAAGCCACGGCUAACUACGUG